CAGCCGCCGCGGUAAUACGAAGGGUGCAAGCGUUAAUCGGAAUUACUGGGCGUAAAGCGUGCGUAGGCGGUGAGUUAAGUCUGCUGUGAAAUCCCCGGGCUCAACCUGGGAACGGCAGUGGAUACUGGCUCGCUAGAGUGUGUCAGAGGAUGGUGGAAUUCCCGGUGUAGCGGUGAAAUGCGUAGAGAUCGGGAGGAACAUCAGUGGCGAAGGCGGCCAUCUGGGACAACACUGACGCUGAGGCACGAAAGCGUGGGGAGCAAACAGGAUUAGAUACCCCAGUAGUCCCUGUCUCUUAUAC
rnacentral:rRNA from 1 species